UACGUAGGCGGAUUUGUAAGUAGGGGGUGAAAUCCCCAGGCUCAACCUGGGAACUGCCUUCUAGACUGCAAGUCUUGAGAUCAGGAGAGGCGAGUGGAAUUCCGAGUGUAGAGGUGAAAUUCGUAGAUAUUCGGAGGAACACCAGUGGCGAAGGCGACUCGCUGGACUGAUACUGACGCUGAGGUACGAAAGCGUGGGGAGCAAACA
rnacentral:rRNA from 1 species